rnacentral:rRNA from 1 species
UACGUAGGGUGCGAGCGUUGUCCGGAAUUAUUGGGCGAAAAGAGCUCGUAGGCGGUUUGUCACGUCUGCUGUGAAAUCCCGAGGCUCAACCUCGGGCCUGCAGUGGGUACGGGCAGACUGGAGUGCGGUAGGGGAGAAUGGAAUUCCUGGUGUAGCGGUGGAAUGCGCAGAUAUCAGGAGGAACACCGAUGGCGAAGGCAGUUCUCUGGGCCGUAACUGACGCUGAGGAGCGAAAGCGUGGGGAGCGAACAGG